CACAUGAUCAGACUUCUACAAGAAAAAGAUUAACCUAACAUUGGAAUGAAAAAAAAGAGAUUCUAAGAUAGGGAAUAAAGGAAGGAAGGACCUGUUGAGAAGCUAGUAUUAUAGUACAACUUGGUGGUAAUAAGGGCCUGAAGUGUGUCCUAUCUAUUCUCACUACAAUAGAAUAGAUAGGAAGGCACAGAUGACAGAGGUGUUGCCAGAUAUUGAAUGGAUAUGAGUUAAGGAUAGCCCCAAGCUAUAACCAGACAAAGGAAAUGAAAGAAAAUAAUAAAAAUCUCCAUACCCACAUCUUCAGUAUCCUUCAAAAUGUUCCACCAUAACCUCAAACUCACCAUGUCUAAAUCCAAGCUCCCUUUAAAUCCUCUUUGCUCUUCUGACUUGACAGUUUUUA